rnacentral:rRNA from 1 species
CGGGGUGCACCAGGCGCGAAAACUUUACACUGCGGGAAACCGCGAUAAGGGGACCCCGAGUGCCAGCACCUAGUGCUGGCUGUCCAGCUGUCUAAAUAACAGUUGUUAGCAAGGGCCGGGUAAGACCGGUGCCAGCCGCCGCGGUAACACCGGCGGCCCGAGUGGUAGCCGUUAUUAUUGGGUUUAAAGGGUCCGUAGCCGGCCUAUUAAGUCUCUUGGGAAAUCUGGCGACUUAAUCGUCAGGCGUCCAAGAGAUACUGGUAGGCUUGGGACCGGGAGAGGUGGGAGGUACUCCAGGGGUAGGGGUGAAAUCUCGUAAUCCUUGGGGGACCACCGAUGGCGAAGGCAUCCCACCAGAACGGGUCCGACGGUGAGGGACGAAAGCUGGGGGCACGAACCGGAUUAGAUACCCGGGUAGUCCCAGCUGUAAACGAUGCUCGCUAGGUGUCAGGUGCGGUGCGACCGCAUCUGGUGCCGCAGUGAAAACUUGAAGCGAGUCACCUGGGAAGUACGGUCGCAAGGCUGAAACUUAAAGGAAUUGGCGGGGGAGCACAAGGGCGAAUUGC